rnacentral:rRNA from 1 species
UACGAAGGGGGCUAGCGUUGCUCGGAAUCACUGGGCGUAAAGCGCACGUAGGCGGAUUGUUAAGUCAGGGGUGAAAUCCUGGAGCUCAACUCCAGAACUGCCUUUGAUACUGGCGAUCUCGAGUCCGGGAGAGGUGAGUGGAACUGCGAGUGUAGAGGUGAAAUUCGUAGAUAUUCGCAAGAACACCAGUGGCGAAGGCGGCUCACUGGCUCGGUACUGACGCUGAGGUGCGAAAGCGUGGGGGAGCAAACAGG